GUGUUCACUUUUGGCAGCACAUAUGCUAAAAUUGGAACAAGACAGAGAAGAUUAGCAUGGCCCCUGCUCAAGGAUGACCCAAAAACUUGUGAAAUGUUCCAUAUUAAA
ensembl:snRNA U6 U6 spliceosomal RNA